ACAAGCGGAGGAGCAUGUGGUUUAAUUCGAUGAUACGCGAGGAACCUUACCUGGGCUCGAACGUAAGAUGACUGUAGGUGAAAGCUUACAUCUCUUCGGAGCAUUUUACGAGGUGCUGCAUGGUUGUCGUCAGCUCGUGCCGUGAGGUGCCGGGUUAAGUCCCAUAACGAGCGCAACCCUACCUUUAGUUGCCAUCAGGUAAUGCUGGGGACUCUAAAGGAACUGCCUACGCAAGUAGUGAGGAAGGCGGGGAUGGCGUCAAAUCAGCACGGCCCUUACGUCCAGGGCUACACACGUGCUACAAUGGCCGAUACAGAGGGCAGCUACCUGGUGACAGGAUGCAAAUCUCCAAAGUCGGUCUCAGUUCGGAUCGGAGUCUGCAACCCGACUCCGUGAAGUUGGAUUCGCUAGUAAUCGCGCAUCAGCCAUGGCGCGGUGAAUACGUUCCCGGGCCUU
rnacentral:rRNA from 1 species